rnacentral:rRNA from 1 species
GAUGAACGCUGGCGGCGUGCCUAAUACAUGCAAGUCGAGCGAACAGACGAGGAGCUUGCUCCUCUGACGUUAGCGGCGGACGGGUGAGUAACACGUGGAUAACCUACCUAUAAGACUGGGAUAACUUCGGGAAACCGGAUCUAAUACCGGAUAAUAUAUUGAACCGCAUGGUUCAAUAGUGAAAGACGGUUUUGCUGUCACUUAUAGAUGGAUCCGCGCCGCAUUAGCUAGUUGGUAAGGUAACGGCUUACCAAGGCAACGAUGCGUAGCCGACCUGAGAGGGUGAUCGGCCACACUGGAACUGAGACACGGUCCAGACUCCUACGGGAGGCAGCAGUAGGGAAUCUUCCGCAAUGGGCGAAAGCCUGACGGAGCAACGCCGCGUGAGUGAUGAAGGUCUUCGGAUCGUAAAACUCUGUUAGUAGGGAAGAACAAAUGUGUAAGUAACUAUGCACGUCUUGACGGUACCUAAUCAGAAAGCCACGGCUAACUACGUG